UACGUAGGUGGCAAGCGUUGUCCGGAUUUAUUGGGCGUAAAGAGCGUGUAGGCGGCCAGAUAGGUCCGUUGUGAAAACUGGAGGCUUAACCUCCAGCUGUCGAUGGAAACCAUCUGGCUAGAGUCCGGAAGAGGAGAGUGGAAUUCCUGGUGUAGCGGUGAAAUGCGCAGAUAUCAGGAAGAACACCCGUGGCGAAGGCGGCUCUCUGGGACGGUACUGACGCUAAGGCGCGAAAGCGUGGGGAGCGAACAGG
rnacentral:rRNA from 1 species